CCAGUAAAUCAUUUGCAUCACAAAUCUCCUCUUCACUGGAUGCUCAGCUCACCCAAGCUGUUGCUCAGACCCUCUCCUGCCUCCAUACAUUCCAUCAUCUUUGAAAGCAGCUUAAAAAUCAUCACAUUUCCUUGUCAGUGUGCAAAGUUGAGAUCCACCCAAGAAAACUGAGUUUGGUUGCCCAGUCCUGUCCGACUCUUUGUGACCCCAUGGACAGCAGCACACCAGGCCUCCCAGACUUAAAACCCUGAAUUGUCAAGUGGCCACAUUGUCCUGCCUCUGCUGAGCUGCUCCAGAGCUCCCAAGAGAUGUGGCCGACUUCCCUGGCAGGACGGGCCUCAGUUUCCCUGAGAUGGGCAGGUGGGAAGGUGAAGAUCCAAGGCACUGAGCUUCCAGCAUGUGUCUGAGAUUCGGUCCCUGCCUUGGAAUCCCUCACAGUCUCUAGUGGGAGAUGCACAGAGUGUUCAUGGG
ensembl:lncRNA